CCUGCCCCUAAGGCAGUGCCGGUGUGGCUGCUGCGUCACAUGUGCGUCAGUGGGUGGCAGAGAGGAAAGAGGCUAUGUUAAUGCUCACUCUUCUGACCCUGAACAUCUGAAUGAUUAGUAACUUCACACU
ensembl:snoRNA